GGGCAGCAGAGCAACUCUCUGGGCUCACCCAGACAGGAGUGGGCCCAUAGUCGGCAGUUAACCAAGGGCCCCCUGAAAUUUGGAGCUGACCCUGGUCAAGCACUUGGCAGACCACAGUAUGUGACUGAGAACGACUUUGGCCCUUGAACAAUUUGGAGCACCAUCUGCUGCCAAUCUGUAAUAGGAGUAAUCUGUCAUUAGUCUCAAAAACCUUCAUUCUAAUCACCAAAAAUGGGUUUCACAGCUGAGAAGACCAUCUUCCCAGUCACCACUCACCUCACCUCAGAAGAUGGGGGCACCUGCAGGAGAGCGACAGUGAAGUUGUCUGUAUAUGGGAAGACUGAUAUGGGAGUAGACAGUCCUUCAGGCAGGAAAAGGUCAUAUCCAGAAAGAGUGGUACCUGAAAUACUUGUCCUUUUGUGAGAGCUAUAAUUCACUGGGGCCUUUUAUGCCAGGAGCCAGUCCACUGCUGAGUAUUAGAACUGCCGAUCAUAAUUAUCCAGCAAAAAUGGAAACAAAGGCUGCAGAACAGCAGUGCUCUAGACAACUCUCUCCAAAGAAAAUCUGACCCACAGCCUUGGAUGUGGGUGACUAGGAGAGAAUGAAGAAAAGUCAAGCUCCAGUAACUUUUAAUGACAGAUCUUGUUAGGGUUAAAAAAACAGCACUGCCCUCAUGCUGUGAUUACAUCUGAAUAGGAACCCGUCACCCGAACCACUCCAGGUUGCAGCAUUGUGAACAGGCUUGUUCUUUCUAAAUUAAUCAUUCUGAGCUACUCAGCAAAGGGACCUGGGUACACAACGCAGCUUGAAACACAAAACUCACUGCAGGCUGCCAAAUAGCGGCCUAAAUGAUUGCUGCUGCUUUCCCUGACGCUAGCCUUUUUCUUUCCUUUCCCUUUUUCUUGCAAAGAAGAGGAUACAAAGUGGGUCAAAUUAGGAAGUGAUAGGCUUCAAACCUGCAAAAAAUAUUGCAAACAAAAGCUCCCCCACUCUCUACACACCACUACCAAAAUACACAAAUUAAUACUUAACAAACUAGUGUGACCCACUGUGGAGUUGGCUUUCGGCCCUGGAGGUCUGCAUUCACAUUCCAGUUCACACCGGGACUCACUGAAUGGGCUUUCUCUAGCUUUGGUGUUUUUAGCAUGGAACUUAUGUUGACUGCCCUCUUUCACAGGGCUGUUGGAAGGAUAUGGGCCUGGUAUAUGAAUGGGAAAUGGCUUGCAACACAGACGCCAGUUCAUAUAUUAUCUAGGCAAUGCGGUGAUCAUUUAAAACACUGCUUCUGUGUGGUCUUGCUCCACACUGGAGCAGCAGAGGUGCCAAGGGGAUUUUCUGGGCCCAGUAAACUAUAUGUGGAUUAGGUCCAGUUGCAUUGUGAGCUUUGCAGCAGCCCAAGAAGAGGCCAGUGCUUCCUACCUUCAUGGCUGUCCCACCACUGCUCUCCACUGCCAGCCAC